ACCAGGUCUUGACAUCCCGAUGCUAUUCUAGAGAUAGAAAGUUACUUCGGUACAUCGGUGACAGGUGGUGCAUGGUUGUCGUCAGCUCGUGUCGUGAGAUGUUGGGUUAAGUCCCGCAACGAGCGCAACCCCUAUUGUUAGUUGCCAUCAUUCAGUUGGGCACUCUAGCGAGACUGCCGGUAAUAAACCGGAGGAAGGUGGGGAUGACGUCAAAUCAUCAUGCCCCUUAUGACCUGGGCUACACACGUGCUACAAUGGUUGGUACAACGAGUUGCGAGUCGGUGACGGCGAGCUAAUCUCUUAAAGCCAAUCUCAGUUCGGAUUGUAGGCUGCAACUCGCCUACAUGAAGUCGGAAUCGCUAGUAAUCGCGGAUCAGCACGCCGCGGUCGAAUACGUUCCGGCCUU
rnacentral:rRNA from 1 species